UUAUCAAAAACAUCGCCUCUUGCUAACAAAGGAAGUACUAGAGGUCCCGCCUGCCCUGUGACCACAAAGUUUAACGGCCGCGGUAUCCUGACCGUGCGAAGGUAGCGUAAUCAUUUGUCUUUUAAAUAGAGACCUGUAUGAAUGGCAUAACGAGGGUUUAACUGUCUCCUUCCCCUAGUCAAUGAAAUUGAUCUGCCCGUGCAGAAGCGGACAUAAACACAUAAGACGAGAAGACCCUAUGGAGCUUUAGACAAAAGAUCAAACAUGUAAAGAAACCAAACCAACCAAAAGGAUAAACGAAGGCCACAAAACCCAACGUAAACUGAUCUAAAUGUCUUCGGUUGGGGCGACCAUGGGGGAAAGAAAAGCCCCCACGAGGAACAGGGACAACCCCUAAACUAAGAGAGACACCUCUAAGCAACAGAAAAUCUGACCAAAAUGACCCAGGAUACUAAUCCUGAUCAACGAACCAAGUUACCCUAGGGAUAACAGCGCAAUCCUUUCCCAGAGUCCAUAUCGACGAAAGGGUUUACGACCUCGAUGUUGGAUCAGGACAUCCUAAUGGUGCAGCCGCUAUUAAGGGUUCGUUUGUUCAACGAUUAAUAGUCCUACGUGAUCUGAGUUCA
rnacentral:rRNA from 1 species